rnacentral:lncRNA from 1 species
GCUGAGGAACAGGCGGUUCGAGGCGUUCGGAGGAAGCUUGAUGCUGAGAGUAGUAGUACUACUUCUUCUGAGUCGUGUGGUUUUAAGCGCAGGAAGGAAGGUUUCCAUGCUUCUUCUCCUUUCAAGAGGUCUUUUGCAGCUGUCACCACCAGUCCUAUCUGCAGCCAAGUUGGAGAUGGCAUGGACUUGAGCUAGAUGUAUCUGUCAUAUAUAACUGAAGUGACUCUUUAAUCCUUUCACCCCCCUUAUUAUGUCUCUUUUAAUUUUGCUUCUCUUUUUUUCCCCUUUCCCGCUUCACUUUCUUACUUAUCUGUCGGGAACAAUUAUGGAUGACUGAACUUAAUGCGGGUACUUUUUAAAGGGUUGACCUUCUGUGUCCCCGUUGCUGUAGUAGGAACUUAUCUCGGUAUCAUGUUUAAUGCAAUUAAGUGCUUUCUUGAGCAUAGCUUAUAUCUUACUGAGCAUAGUCUUAUGUUUGGAUCCUAACUUUAGUUCCCGGAACAGUUUGUAAUGUUUAUGUCUGUCUAUCUCUGUAAGUUGUGAGUGUUCCUUUUCUGGCUUCGUUUGUCAGGUUUACUCUCGAUGCGGCUUUUCGUUCAUUUAGCUUCUCAUUUGCUGAUACUAGGGGUAGCCUGGUUGUGAGCUAUUGAAUACAUCUGAUACAGGUUUUUGUCAGGUUCUUCAGAUAAGAGGCUCUCACCAUAUGGUAGAAAUUCGAGUUUGUUCCUUUCAAUUUCCUCUGGUAUUAUGCAGGUUUUAAGAUACUAACAUUACUUCUUGUUUAUGUUGUUGUUGACUGAAUGGGUUUGUCUAACUUGAUUUUGUUCUUGGUUUUUGGUUUUUGUUUUUUUGAAGUUUAGUGUCAUUUUGCAGGGGUUCAAGUGGGAGUUCAACAGUUUGAAUUUUUGUGAUUGUGUUACUUUCUGUUUCUUAUGAUAGAAAGCUUGUUUUGUUUUCUAUUUUAAAUCAUUCCAUCUCAUUUGCUAUCUGUUACUGUGCAGAGGAGACAAUUGAAGUGGCACCGGAAAAGACAAGCGUGAUGUAUUUGUACUCUGGUUAUCCUCUUGUUAUCAUUAUCCUACAAUUGAAAUGGCACCGGGAAGGACACGCAUGGUGUGUUUCUACUCUGGUUAUCCUCUCGCUAUCAUUAUCCUUACCGCAGCAAAAGAAACCUGGGAAUUAUGUGCCACGUUCGCUCUGUUUCUUACUUAACCUAUAUGUGCGUGCUUAUGCUGGGAUAUUUUCAGUGUGCUAAUCUCUGUGGGGCAGGUAAAAGAAUUCUGCUUUGCUAGCGAUUGGCAUCACUACCUGAUCUGUUUCAUAAAGUACUCUUUUUUAUGUGAUUUCACCGUUCUUUUUGUUGCGUUUGCUAGGGAAUUGGUGGUUGAACGAAGUUAUUGGACGGUGGCAGCACUGCUGGGAAGUGGUGGCAGUUCCAGCAUGGGGCUGAAGGUUGUUGAGAAAGUAACUGAUGUGAGUUCUGAUACAUUUGCUGUUGACCUUCUGAAAGUCGAUGUUGGAACUCUAUUCAGAGGCAAGGAAGAUUCCCUGUGGCAUGCAUUUGGGAAGCCAGGUCAGGAACAUUUGAUUGUUAUUUUGGCUCGACAUUCGGUAUCAUUUGUGUGCUCCCUAUCAAUGUUCCUCGUUUAUUAGCUGCAGCAACUAAUGCUUCAACUCAUUUUAACGAAGGUUGGUUGUGAACCCUCUUUAAGUGAACUUCUAACGGGCAGUGAUGUGCUGAAGUGCAAGUUAGUUGACUGGCUGUUUUUGCAAAAGAACCCUUUCGAGUGGAUUUCUAUGGGUUGAGUUGAGAACUUGUUCGGCUCGGAUCAGCUGUUGUUCCUUGCAUGUGAAGAUAUGUAGACCAUUUUUUGAUUCCUUGUGAUUUCUGUCUUUAGGAUCGAUCUUAUUAGUCUCUCUUGAUUCCAGGGUGUAAUUGCCAGAGCUAGCUAAUUGCAUGCCAACACAGAAAGUGAUGAUGCUGUUGACAGAUCUCAACUGGGUUUAUUGACGUUCCUGGAUUGGAUGCUGGAUCAUUGGUGCUCUGUUGGAGUGUAUUUCAGUCUCUUUGUUUUCCAGUCUUGUUCUGUUUUGUGUACUGUCUAUAUUGCUUAUGAGCUCGAUGUUUUUAUUCAUUGUAAUUUGGUUCAUUCAUCCAAUUAGGUAAAGGGAAACUUCAGUCAAGUUACUUGUACAGAUCUGUGAAACUAUGUGCGAUCAUAAUGAUACUUCUGCAGGAAAAAUUUAAAGCUUUAUGUUAUAAAUACUUCUACAGGGUUGUGAAACUAUAUACAAUCACAAAAUUCACGGGUUCUUGUUAAAUGAAGCUUAAUAUUUACUCAAGUAUUCCUCCGCUAUAUGGCAUCAACUUCACUAUUGCCUCGACAGAUGGAACCUGAAUAGGGAUAUUGUUGAUCAAGCUCCAAACAUGUUCGAUUCGUCCUCAGCCAGGAAAUUUCGGAAUAGAGAUCCUCCCACUGGGGUCUCCAACUCAUUUAUGAAUUUAGACAUGUUCGAUUUGUGGGAGGAAUUGCUAGGAGGUGGAAAUCUGGCAGUGUUGUGGAAUGCCCGUUGCGAGGAACUCCUGCAGAUUUGCAGCCAUGCCCUUAUCGUAAGGGUUUCUGAACCGUACCACAGUUUUGCUUUCCCCUGGUAAGAUAACUUAGUGAUAUGAUGCUUUUUGCAGAGUAUUCAUAGGAACACUAGCUCCUGAAAUAAUUUUAA